ACGCUCGACACCUACGGGCAGCAGUGGGGAAUAUUGCACAAUGGGGGAAACCCUGAUGCAGCGACGCCGCGUGAGUGAAGAAGUAUUUCGGUAUGUAAAGCUCUAUCAGCAGGGAAGAAGAUGACGGUACCUGAGUAAGAAGCCCCGGCUAACUACGUGCCAACAGCCGCGGUAAUCUGAGCGGGCUGGCAAGGC
rnacentral:rRNA from 1 species